rnacentral:lncRNA from 1 species
UUUCAUUCACAGUUGUUUCUAUCACUUGCUGAAUUGCUCAGUUCCAUGUACAGUAAAUAAUUUUGCUAUCACUGCUGUCAUUGGUACAUUUAGUGGUUUGGGUGAUCUUUAUUUUGCUUCAAGAUGACCAUAUGAAGAAUCCAUGGAGUACAAAGGCAUGUUUUGCUUAACUUGAAUUCAGAUAGGAGUUUCAUGACUCAGAGAGACACUAGAGCACAGCUCAAAUUUUGGACUGUAUGUUUUAAAGACAAUGUGAGAUUAAAUAGCCAAGAUAAUGGAAGAGUGAACAGAUUUACACAUCCUUACUUCUCUAACUGUUUCUGAUCUUCGGGGUAAUGUUUGUCACACCACCAUUCAGAGUAUUUGGAAAGUAGCCUGACUCACGUUUUGGCAUGACUAUAAGGAGACCUGUGUCCUAUGGCUGUCUCCCAUUUUGUUUCUUCAAAACACUUUUGUGUCUUCACUUCAUCUUGGCAGCGAGGUCUUGAUCCAUACUGACAACGAGAACAUUGGAAUUCAUUCUCCUUAAAAAAUAAACAAACAAACAACAACAACAAGGGAGUGGGAAGGAUUUUCAUUCAUGACUGACUGGGAGACUGGGAAAGCUGCAGCUAUCUGCAGUGACUGCACUGGAAAGACACCUGAGAAUGUGAGUGCUUUUCCUGGAAUUAGAAAGCAAGGGUGAAUGUGAAGAAGACUGAAGGCCUUGAUAUUAAGGAAGUCAUUUAUAUGAAAUACAGCAUGCCAUCCCAACAAAUGAUAAAAACUCAUGACUGCUGAACCAGAAAUAUCUGACUCCUUACAAUAUUUAUUGCAAAGUAGUAGUUUCCAGUGAAAAUUCCUGUGACAAAAGUGAAGGGGCUAUCUGCUAUUUAGGGUAUAUGGCAGAUGGCAAUGGGUCAUGUAGUGUAUCUCCCUGAUACUGUUCAUUUUCCAGGCCAGUUGGUUACAUUUGACAGGUCUACUCAGAAAUCAUUAACCUGAUCUGCCCAUGUCUGUCAUGUCUCUAGCAUAAUGCAUCUUCAUGGUAUAAGGUAAACUGGGUACCUGGAGGGUAAAGGAAAUAAAAAAGACUCAUAGCCUAUAUAAAUCAAAAGAAAAAGGAGAAAAGGAAGCCACUUAGAAGAGUAGGUGUCAUUGAUUGACUGUAAUUUUAAAGGGUCUUUCUUAUGAUGGACAAAUUUCUGAAGUGUUCAUUAACUAAUGGAAUUAUGGUGGCUGACUGCUGCUGUCUCCACAGAACAUCAGGUUAAAAAGCACAGAUAAAUAAUGGGUUUUCCUUUAUUAUGGAUCAGUGUCCUCACUGUCUGGAGCUCAUGUGAAGAUGCUGUUAAGGAUUAAGGGGCUUUCAUUACUGAAAUUCAUGUUUAUGCUUUUCUGUUCCUCAAUAAUGGUAUACACAUGCACAAGGGAAUAGGAAGGGGGAAAAGAAGGGAAGAUGGAAAUGUUGCCAGCAGAGAAGAAAAUUAUUCUGAAAUGCUUGGUAAUAAAUGCUUUUCCUACUGCAAAACACCAAAUGAAACUGAACUCAGAGGGUUAAACAAUAGAGGCAUAGCACCUGGUCUUUAAUAUAUUCAAUUAUCCAGAAAACAAAAUCAAUUUUGUUUUUGUUAAUAGCACUGAAAUAUGCAUUACACUAUUUUAAUUAAAGCAGUCUAUUACGCUUGCAAUUCAGUUCAUUCCUGCAUAUUCCCCUAGGGCAGUAGUCAUGUACUGUGAUAAAACAUAAUGAAAAUAAUUUAUAAAAGAAACAAUACAAUAAAUCAAUCUGAUGCCUAAUGAACCUUCAUUACAAGGAUGGAUGCAAUAUUUUCUUAGAAUAUGUAGUGCUUUCUCCUUAAAUUAUUGGAAGAAUGCCUCAAAGCACUUAAAAAAAUAGCACCU